UGGCUUUGGUUCUUAUUUGUUAGAUAUUAGUGGGUAGACUUAGCCUAAGCUUUUUAUUGUUUAGUGGGGUUCUGUUUAAAUAUUUUUAAAAAUCCUUUGGUUUUGGGGAACUAGGAAUAUACGUGUCUUUCUUAUACAUGCUAGUGGAUGACGGUUAAAGAGGGGACAAAAUGUGCGAACAGGUGAGGAAACCCGAGAGCUAAGUUUUGGGGCGGGGCUGGAGUCGUAUUAGGUCGAAGGUGGUAUAAAAGACCACCUUGCCCAGGAUGCGUGGCUUUAAACUGGAAGCCAUCUUUUCACUGAAGCAAAGGGAGGGCUCAAAAAGGGAGCGAAAAGCUCCUGAGGCAGCAGUAUAUAACUUUAUGCAAUGUACGAAAGUGCGACAUAGAAGGGGCGUAUAACUUAAUCUGUCUAAUUAAGUGCCAGCAGACGCGGUGAAACUUAAGGAUUAGUAUUAUAGGAAAAAGCGUAAAGGGUGUGAGGGGCUUAUCCCGACAAGAGGGUAAAUGGAAUUUUUCUGUAGGGGUAGAAUGUGUAGAUAGAAAAAAGAACUCUAAACGCGAAGGCAAUUUAUCUCAUGGGAGGGACGCCAACUGCUCCGUUGUUACACGAAAGUAUGGGGAGCAAACAGGAUUAGAGACCCUGGUAGUCUAUAUUGUAAAUAAUGAAGAAGAUGUGAGGCAAUCCUAAAGGGUAAUAAAUUUUUCGCUUGAGUAGUAUGAUCGCAAGAUUUAAAUUCAAAAAACUUGGCUGCUCACUGCUAUGAUCAGAGGAGCGUGUCGUUUAAUUCGAUAGUCCGCGAGAGACCUUACCCAAACUUGAAUUCGCCCUUUAACAGGUAUUGCAUGGCCGUCGUCAAUUUGUGUAUUAAAUGUAAAACGGAUUCAACCCAGUGGUUGGCAUCCCCUCGUCUUCGGAGCGGUGCCAUUAUUGGAUGAAGUCAGGUCUUAUUGUCCUAAUGUUUGGGGAUUAGAUGCGCUACAUUUUCUUAUACAAUGGGAGAUUUUGAAGGUGGAACCCUAAAGUAAGAGUUCGGGAGGUGGCUGGAAGAUAACUGAAAGUUGAAUUUGAUAGUAAUUAGAAAGUAGAGCGUUCUGGUGAAAUUGAUGCAGUGUUAGUACAAAUAGCCCGUCGCCUUGGUCAAGAAUGGUUAGUCAAACGCCCCCUAUUGUUGGGGUAUGGUGUAACUUUGAGAUGAAGUAAGUCGUAACAUAGUAAGGGUGGGGGAACUGGCUCUUGG
rnacentral:rRNA from 1 species